CCCUUAGACGUUCUGGGCCGCACGCGCGCUACACUGACCAGUGCAACAAGCAUCCGUCCUUGGCCGACAGGCUCGGGCAAUCUUUGAACGCUGGUCGUGAUGGGGAUAGACUUUUGCAAUUUUUGGUCUUCAACGAGGAAUUCCUAGUAAACGCAAGUCAUCAACUUGCAUUGAUUACGUCCCUGCCCUUUGUACACACCGUCCGUCGCACCUACCGAUUGAAUGGUCCGGUGAAGCCUCCGGAUUGGCGCGCACCUCGGUGCCGCCGAGAAGUUGGCUAAACCUUACCAUUUAGAGGAAGGUGAANUCGUAACA
rnacentral:rRNA from 1 species